GCUUGUCUCAAAGAUUAAGCCAUGCAUGUGUAAGCACACACUGUUUUAAAAGUGAAGCCGCGAAUGGCUCAUUACAACAGCCACAGUUUAUUAGAACUUACAAUCAUGGAUAACUGUGGUAAUUCUAGAGCUAAUACACGCACAAAAACUUCAACUGAAUUGGUUGAAGUGCUUUUAUUAGAACAAAAACCGAACGGCGUUUGACGAAUGUUGAACGUCGAAACUGUUUGGUGAAUCUGAAUAACUAUUUCUGAUCGCAUGGUCUAGCACCGGCGACAUCACUUUCAAGUGUCUGCCUUAUCAACCUUCGAUGGUAGUCUAUGCGACUACCAUGGUGAUAACGGGUAACGGAGAAUCAGGGUUCGACUCCGGAGAGGGAGCCUGAGAAACGGCUACCACAUCCAAGGAAGGCAGCAGGCGCGCAAAUUACCCACUCCCAGCUUGGGGAGGUAGUGACGAAAAAUAACGAGACGAUUCUCGUUUGAGAAACGUUAUCGAAAUGAGUACGCUUUACACACGCUAACGAGUAGCAAUUGGAGGGCAAGUCUGGUGCCAGCAGCCGCGGUAAUUCCAGCUCCAAUAGCGUAUAUUAAAGUUGCUGCGGUUAAAACGCUCGUAGUUGAAUUGUGGUCUUAGACAACAGUCCCCCUACAAAGGUGUGGCACGGUUGCUCGAGAUCUUCAUUCGUGGUUGCUGUUGUUGCUCUUCAUUGAGUGUCAAUGGUGCCUCGAGAUUUUACUUUGAAAAAAUUAGAGUGCUCAAAGCAGGUUGUGAUGCCUGAAUAAUGGUGCAUGGAAUAAUAGAAUACGAUCUCGGUUCUAUUUUGUUGGUUUUCGAACCGGAGAUAAUGAUUGAAAGGAACAGACGGGGGCAUUCGUAUUGCUGCGUUAGAGGUGAAAUUCUUGGAUCGCAGCAAGAUGAACAAUUGCGAAAGCAUUUGCCAAGAAUGUUUUCAUUAAUCAAGAACGAAAGUUAGAGGUUCGAAGGCGAUCAGAUACCGCCCUAGUUCUAACGGUAAACUAUGCCAACCAGCGAUUCGCCGAAGUUCAUUUAAGACUCGGCGAGCAGCUUCCGGGAAACCAAAGUGUUUCGGUUCCGGGGGAAGUAUGGUUGCAAAGCUGAAACUUAAAGGAAUUGACGGAAGGGCACCACCAGGAGUGGAGCCUGCGGCUUAAUUUGACUCAACACGGGAAAACUCACCCGGCCCGGACACUGGAAGGAUUGACAGAUUGACAGCUCUUUCUUGAUUCAGUGGGUAGUGGUGCAUGGCCGUUCUUAGUUGGUGGAGCGAUUUGUCUGGUUAAUUCCGAUAACGAACGAGACUCUACCCUAUUAAAUAGUGACAGUAUUGUAUUUUUUGUGCUGAUCACUUCUUAGAGGGACUGGCAAAUUGAAAGCUGCACGAAAAAGAGCAAUAACAGGUCUGUGAUGCCCUUCGAUGUCCGGGGCUGCACGCGCGCUACAAUGAAAGCGUCAACGUGAGUUACGUCCUUACCUGAAAAGGUUUGGCAAUCGAAUGAAACGUUUUCUUGAAUGGAAUAGGGAAUUGCAAUUGUUUCCCUUGAACGAGGAAUUCCCAGUAAGCGUGAGUCAUUAGCUCGCGUUGAUUACGUCCCUGCCCUUUGUACACACCGCCCGUCGCUACUACCGAUUGGAUGAUUUAGUGAGGUGUUUUGACUGGCGCCAGUAGUCGGAUAUGUAUUCGCUUCGCGCCGGGAAAUUUCCCAAACCAAAUCAUCUAGAGGAAGUAAAAGUCGUAACAAGGUUUCCGUAGGCG
rnacentral:rRNA from 1 species